rnacentral:rRNA from 1 species
GACGUAGGGCGCGAGCGUGUCGGAUUUAUUGGGCGUAAAGAGCUCGUAGGCGGCUUUGUUGCGUCGACUGUCGGAAAACCCCGCGGCUUGAAACCGCGGGCCAUGCAGUUGAUACGGGCGGGGCUAGGAGUUCGGUUAGGGGAGACUGGAAUUCCUGGUGUAGCGGUGAAAUGCGCAGAUAUCAGGAGGAACACCGGUGGCGAAGGCGGGUCUCUGGGCCGAUACUGACGUGGAGGAGCGAAAGCGUGGGGAGCGAACAGG